rnacentral:pre_miRNA from 1 species
CAACUACUCCCUCUGUCCCAAAUUUCUUGUCUUAGAUUUGUCUAGAUACGGAUGUAUCUAAUACUAAAAUGUGACUUGAUACANUUAGAUUUGUCUAGAUACGGAUGUAUCUAAUACUAAAAUGUGACUUGAUACAUCCGUAUCUAGACAAAUCUAAGACAAGAAUUUUGGGACGGAGGGAGUAAUUU